rnacentral:rRNA from 1 species
GACGAACGCUGGCGGCGUGCCUAAUACAUGCAAGUAGCACGCUGUUGCGAGCGGUUGAGUAACGCGUAGUUAACUGCGUCAUCGCGCGGGCUAACUAUUGGAAACGCUAGCUAAUACCUCAUACUGUGAGAUGCACCUGCGUUGUAUUAGCUAGUUGGUGAGGUAAAUGCUCAACAAGGCGACGAUACAUAGCCGACCUGAGAGGGGGAUCGGCCACAAUGGGAAUUGGACACCGGCCAGACUCCUACGGGAGGCAGCAGUAAGGAAUCUUUGGCAAAGGACGGAAGUCUGACCCGGCAAAGCCGCGUGAGGGAAGAAGGUUUUCGGAUCGGAAAGCUCUGUUGUUAGAGAAACGGUAACUAACCAGAAAGGGACGGCUAACUACGUGCCAGCAGCCGCGGUAAUUC